AAGUAUUUAUGACACCAUCAACGGCCAAUAAUUUAGGAAGAACGCUGUGAAGUGGAGGAAGGUUACCUGAGGUGAGUCCCACAUAGCAGUGGCAGCACCAGCUGGACAGACUGGAGGUUGGGAUGUGGGAUAAUUCCCUUCUUUGAAAUCUUCAGCACAGUUGAGAAGCCAGCACCAACUCUCCCGUUCCCAUUACAGCUAAUGGACUGAGGUCAGCCACAUCCAAACUUGUAAUGAAUUUUCUGUGUGCAUGCAGCCACUUGUUUUCCCAUUAAAAAAAAAAAAAAAACCAAAAUAAAAGGAUAAAAAUACAAGUCAGUAAUUGCAGCUGCUGUGAUUGCAGUUUGGGAGCACCCUCCUGUGAUGGCAUCAGUUGUGUCUUCUCAAUUUUACAGCUUCCCCAGCAUCCUCUUGUGCACCAUUAUAUGUAUGUGCUGCACCUUUCCCACUCUCCCCCACCAUUAAUUCUUGGAUUCUUAGUGAUCACUGUUUGUAUUGCUUAUUUUGCAAGUCUGUCUAUAGUGUCUAAUUAUGUGUUUGAAAUUACAUUAUGUAAUUUUUAAUAAAGCUAAUGGCAAUGUUUAGAAUA